rnacentral:rRNA from 1 species
UACGGGGGGGGCAAGCGUUGUUCGGAAUUACUGGGCGUAAAGGGCUCGUAGGUGGCCAACUAAGUCAGACGUGAAAUCCCUCGGCUUAACCGGGGAACUGCAUCUGAUACUGGAUGGCUUGAGUUUGGGAGAGGGAUGCGAAAUUCCAGGUGUAGCGGUGAAAUGCGUAGAUAUCUGGAGGAACACCGGUGGCGAAGGCGGCAUCCUAGACCAACACUGACACUGAGGAGCGAAAGCCAGGGGAGCAAACGGG